rnacentral:rRNA from 1 species
GACGAACGCUGGCGGCGUGCUUAACACAUGCAAGUCGAGCGGAGCGGCGAACGGGUGAGUAACGCGUGAGUAACUGCCCCCCUCUCGGGGAUAACAGUUGGAAACGGCUGCUAAUACCGGAUAGUGGUGGAUGACUCGCGUCCUAUCAGCUUCUUGGUGGGGUAGUGGCCUACCAAGGCGACGACGGGUAGCCGGCCUGGGGGGGGGGCCGGCCACAUUGCGCUGAGAUAGGGCCCAAACUCCAACGGGAGGCAGCAGUGGGGAAUAUUGCACAAUGGGGCAACCCCUGAUGCAGCAGCGCCGCGGGCGGGAUGACCGCCUUCGGGUUGUAAACCGCUUUCAGCCAUGACGCGUUAGUGGCAGAAGAAGCACCGGCUAACUACGUGCCAGCAGCCGCGGUAAUUC